ensembl:lncRNA
GUAUCACUUGUGAUUAAUGGCCACAUGUGCUAGGACCAGUAACCUAUGGAAGAUUCCCUGAUCUGAUAGCUCUGUAGCCCUCAUCUUGUUGAAGAUGUUGUCCUUAGAGGGUCAUACAGUUCAGGUGAAGGGAUUGGAUCAGCAAGACAACUCUGUGGAGUGGAGUACAAUUAAGUCGUAUUGAGUCCCAGCUGGGAAAAGGAGAAAUCCACAAGAGGGAGAAGGCUUGUGGUGGAGGAAGAACCGUAAAGUACUUAGAGAGUAUAAGGAGGUAGCCAUACUUUUGGAUGAAUUUGGAAAGCUGUUGACCUUCAACAAGCUCCAUGAUGAGACAUAAUUUUGUUUUGCUCACAAUGACUUGAAGAAGUGAGAUCAUGUUGAGGUGGUC